UGGUCGAUAAUUAUGUGAAAACUGCAAUCCGAGUUCUGGGAACCAGAUGCUGGAGUGUGUGCUGACAACAGACUGAGACCA